AUGGAGGCCAAGCUGCUGCUCCUCUCCUUCCCCUCCCCGCCGGCCGCCCCCCACCACCCGCCGCCCCCCAAAUCCCUAUUCCUCGGCGCCUCCCUCCCGCUCCACCCGCUGGCCGCCGCCCCGCCGCCGCUGCGCACCCGGCCCCGGCUGGCCGUCGUGGCGCAGGCGGCCGCCGUGAAGCGCCGAAAGGAGGUGCCUUUCGACAACGUGAUCCAGCGGGACAAGAAGCUGAAGCUGGUCCUCAAGCUGCGCAACAUCCUCGUCUCCCACCCGGACCGCGUCAUGAGCCUGCGGGACCUCGGCCGCUUCCGCCGCGACCUCGGGCUCACCCGCAAGCGCCGCCUCAUCGCGCUCCUCAAGCGCUUCCCGGGCGUCUUCGAGAUCGUGGAGGAGGGCGUCUACUCGCUGCGGUUCCGCCUCACCCCCGCCGCCGAGCGCCUCUACCUCGACGAGCUCUACCUCCGCAACGAGUCCGAGGGCCUCGCCGUUGCCAAGCUCCGCAAGCUGCUCAUGAUGUCGCUCGACCGCCGCAUCCUCAUCGAGCGGAUCGCGCACCUCAAGAACGACCUCGGCCUGCCCUCCAACUUCCACGACAGCAUCUGCCUCAGGUACCCGCAGUACUUCCGCGUCGUCAGGAUGGACAGAGGCCCCGCGCUGGAGCUCACGGAAUGGGACCCCGACCUGGCCGUGUCGGCCGCCGAGAUGGCGGAGGAGGAGAAUCGGGCCAGGGAGGCCGAGGAGAGGAAUCUUAUCAUCGACCGGCCGCUCAGGUUCAACCGCGUGAAGCUGCCCAAGGGCCUGAAGGUGUCGAGGGGAGAGGCGCGGAGGAUUGAGAAAUUCAGGGAAAUGCCGUACAUUUCGCCGUACGCCGACUUCUCGCACCUGCCGUCGGGGUCCCCUGAGAAGGAGAAGCAUGCCUGUGGGGUGGUUCAUGAAAUUCUAAGCCUGACACUUGAGAAGCGCACCCUGGUUGACCACCUGACACACUUCCGGGAGGAGUUCCGGUUCUCGCAGUCUCUGCGGGGAAUGCUCAUCCGGCACCCUGACAUGUUCUAUGUGUCACUCAAGGGAGAUAGGGACUCGGUGUUCCUCCGUGAGGCGUACAAGAACUCGCAGCUGAUCGAGAAGAGCCAUCUGGUGUUGCUUAAGGAGAAGAUGAGGGCUCUUGUUGCAGUUCCACGCUUCCCUCGGCGUGGUGGGCCUAGGACUGGUGAAGAGACAGAGGGGCCCAAUGGCGCUGCGCAAGGGUAUAAUGAAGGAAGUGACAUGGAAGAUGAUGAAGACGAUGAUUUUUCGGACAUGGAAGAUUUGAUUGGGGAACUUGGUGGCAAAUCUGACAACAGCGGCUACCGCUGGGGUGAUGGCUGGGUUGGCGAGAGUGAUGGCUCGCCACCGGACUUCGGAGAUGGUGAUGACUCAGGUCCACAAGAAAUCGAGGUACCUAAGUCAAAGAGUAAUACAACCAAUGAUGCCGACGACGACUCGUCUGUUCCUUUAUUUCCUGACGGCAGACAACGGGAACGGUGGUAA
rnacentral:rRNA from 1 species